rfam:Oesophagostomum dentatum strain OD-Hann O_dentatum-1.0_Cont2679.4, whole genome shotgun sequence.
GUUCAUUCCUGAACAUAUACUAAAAUUGGAACAAUACAGAGAAGAUUAGCAUGGCACCUGAAAAAAAGAUCAAAGCAUCGUUGUAUUUAUUU